GGUAGGGUGGCCGAGGGUCAGGCGGUGGAUUGUAGUCCCAUGAACAGAGGUUCAAGUCCUCUUCCUAUCA
rnacentral:tRNA from 1 species